rnacentral:rRNA from 1 species
CCUACGGGAGGCAGCAGUCGAGAAUCAUUCACAAUGGGGGAAACCCUGAUGGUGCGACGCCGCGUGGGGGAAUGAAGGUCUUCGGAUUGUAAACCCCUGUCAUGUGGGAGCAAAGUAAAAAGAUAGUACCCCACGAGGAAGAGACGGCUAACUCUGUGCCAGCAGCCGCGUUAAUACAGAGGUCUCAAGCGUUGUUCGGAAUCACUGGGCGUAAAGCGUGCGUAGGCUGUUGCGUAAGUCGUGUGUGAAAGGCGCGGGCUCAACCCGCGGACGGCACAUGAUACUGCGAGACUAGAGUGAGGGAGGGGGAACCGGAAUUCUCGGUGUAGCAGUGAAAUGCGUAGAUAUCGAGAGGAACACUCGUGGCGAAGGCGGGUUACUGGACAGGAACUGACGCUGAGGCACGAAGGCCAGGGGAGCGAAAGGGAUUAGAUACCCGAGUAGUC